ACAGCAGCAGCCACGGUAAUACGGAGGGUGCAAGCGUUAAUCGGAAUUACUGGGCGUAAAGCGCACGCAGGCGGUCUGACAAGUUAGAUGUGAAAUCCCCGGGCUUAACCUGGGAACUGCAUUUGAAACUGUCAGGCUGGAGUCUUGUAGAGGGGGGUGGAAUUCCAGGUGUAGCGGUGAAAUGCGUAGAGAUCUGGAGGAAUACCGGUGGCGAAGGCGGCCCCCUGGACAAAGACUGACGCUCAGGUGCGAAAGCGUGGGGAGCAAACAGGAUUAGAUACCCCAGUAGUCCCUGUCUCUUAUAC
rnacentral:rRNA from 1 species